UACAGAGGUGGCAAGCGUUGUUCGGAAUUACUGGGCGUAAAGGGCGCGUAGGCGGCCUUCUAAGUCAGACGUGAAAUCCCCCGGCUUAACCUGGGAACUGCGUCUGAUACUGGGAGGCUUGAGUAUGGGAGAGGGAUGUAGAAUUCCAGGUGUAGCGGUGAAAUGCGUAGAUAUCUGGAGGAAUACCGGUGGCGAAGGCGGCAUCCUGGACCAUAACUGACACUGAGGAGCGAAAGCCAGGGGAGCAAACGGG
rnacentral:rRNA from 1 species